rnacentral:rRNA from 1 species
AUAACGAGCGCAACCCUUAUCGUUAGUUGCCAGGCGGGUAAUGGCCGGGAACUCUAACGAAACUGCCGGUAGUAAACCGUGAGGAAGGUGGGAUGACGUCAAAUCAGCACGGCCCUUAUGUCCAGGGCUACACACGUGUUACAAUGGCCGGUACAGAGGGCAGCUACCUGGAGACAGGAUGCGAAUCUCCAAAGCCGGUCUCAGUUCGGAUCGGAGUCUGCAACUCGACUCCGUGAAGCUGGAUUCGCUAGUAAUCGCGCAUCAGCCAUGGCGCGGUGAAUACGUUCCCGGGCCUU